rnacentral:rRNA from 1 species
CACGUAGGGCGCAAGCGUUGUCCGGAAUUAUUGGGCGUAAAGAGCUCGUAGGCGGUCUGUUGCGUCCGCUGUGAAAACUCGGGGCUUAACCCCGAGCCUGCAGUGGAUACGGGCAGACUAGAGGUAGGUAGGGGAGAGUGGAAUUCCUGGUGUAGCGGUGAAAUGCGCAGAUAUCAGGAGGAACACCUAUUGCGAAGGCAGCUCGCUGGGACGUAACUGACGCUGAGACGCGAAAGCGUGGGGAGCAAACAGG